ensembl:lncRNA
CUUUGUUCUUCGGCCUGUAGGUUUGCCUCUGAUGGUCCUAACUGGACGAUCCUCCUACAGAAGGCUCUAGUAGUGAUAACGGCCACUUUCAGUACCCAAAUAGGUAGAAUAAAACCCAGCACCAAACUGUUCUGUCACAAAGAGCUCUGUAACAGCCUGCAAAGCCUCCGUGCGUGCCUUGGCCCCAGACUUGCGAUAGCACCAGGGUUAUCCAUCACGUCCUUGGUCGCCCUAUUUUGGUGUCCACAGCCGUGAGGGUUCAAUGUUACUCGUCUGGAAUGAGAUCAACGUGCAGCUCUUUCCCACAUUUUAGUUUACUGGUGUCUGUCAAUCUUUCAUAUCAUAAUUUUGUCCAGAGCAUCUGAUUUAGAAAAAAGCUCCCUCAGAGAUCACUAUUUGAGUGGUAAUUAUUGCUGCUUAGUAACGUCAACUGGGUAAUUGCUUCCUGAAAGGCAGACAUCUCAACCUCCUCCUCUGUCAGCUGGUCUGAGGUCUGGGUUUCCUCAAACAUCUUGGCUAAAGAACCACACGGGUUUUUUUUUUUAGCAUCAACGCAGCACCAGGACACAGAAGCAGUAGAACCUCCAUCUUAAAGCAAGGGCAAACCCUCGCUUCCAGUUGUGGGCAGGCUUUUUGUAAUUGACAUUAUCUGACUUUGAUUAUAGAAUAGGUAGUGUAAAAGUAGAUGAGGUGAAGAGUGAGAACUUAUUUUCUCAGUCGUUCAGGCUCACUCCCAGAGCUCUUUGUUGGUCUACUCUUAACCAUCUGUCCCUCUCGAUGUUUCCUGCGUGUAUGGCUUAGGUGUCGAGAGAUUGUUCACACACUUGACUGCGAGAGGUCUGAGCUGUGUUUCCGUCAUAUGGGUUUGGGAGCUUGUUCAUGAGAGUAAAUAUGCUCUUCCUCAUUAAAACAUUUUAUUAAGCACUUACCUCAAAAUGGUUUCUUUACUCGAAAAGUAGCUAACAUGGAAUGGGCACUGUGUGCCCAAGAGUUGGUUCUAAGCGGUUGACAUGAGUUAACUCACUUUACUCCAUGCCCUUGUGGAUGCAGGAGAUCUGUAGGGAGAGCUCGUUGAGGUUCCGCCUCAUUGAGCACUUCCCUCUUGGAGAGGAGCUCCAUGUCCACACUGACAUGCACAGCCGAGGCCUGGAGUCGACCCCCCCGCCUCGCCAUGACCGCAGCGGCCAUGUCGUCUGCAGCCCACUCGCCAUACUCGGUGUUCCCUGAGUUCCUGAAGUAGGCAAGUUGGCAUCUGGUACUCUAUAACUCUCACCCUUGACUUGAUGGUGUUGGUCUUUGCUUGACUGUCAGGGUCUUGUUUAUAUUCCUCUCAAAAUUCACACCCAGGGGUGCUUCCUCAGAAAAUUAGAUGGUUAGAUGUAUGUUCUUAAUUUGUCUUUUCAUGCCCAUGGGAUCAUGAUGCUGUAAUCUACGUUUCUGCUAAGUGUAUUUAAAAAUUGAGUUAUUUGAUCAUCUGAAAGUUAUAAAUGCAUAUUCCUGGACCUGCUGUGCGGUGUGAUAAAAAGCAUUUCAAAAUGUUUACAUACCUCUUCGCUCUCUGCCCUAAACCUGUGCCCUCCCCUCAGAUGUGACCACUGCUGGUUCUGACUUUUUCUGUGUUUCUAAAAAAUUUUACCAUGGAAGUGUGUGUGUCCCUCAGUACAUAGUAUUAUUUUGCAUUUAAAAAAUUAUAAAUGGUACACAGAUGUAUUCCUCAAUGUCUAUUUGUUUAUUUUUGGCCUCACCCCUUGGUUUGCAGGAUCCUCAUUCCCUGACCAGGGGUUGAACCCUGGCCUGUGGCAGUGAAAGCGUGGAGUCCUG